CCCGCACAAGCGGUGGAGCAUGUGGUUCAAUUCGACGCAACGCGAAGAACCUUACCUGGGCUUGAACCGCAGUGGACAGGAGUGGAAACACUCCCUCCCUUCGGGGCCGCUGUAGAGGUGCUGCAUGGCUGUCGUCAGCUCGUGUCGUGAGAUGUCGGGUUAAGUCCCUCAACGAGCGCAACCCCUGCCGCUAGUUGCCAUCGGUUCGGCCGGGCACUCUAGCGGGACUGCCGGCGUCAAGCCGGAGGAAGGUGGGGAUGACGUCAAGUCCUCAUGGCCCUUAUAGGUGGGGCUACACACGUCAUACAAUGGCCGGUACAGAGGGUAGCCAACCCGCGAGGGGGAGCCAAUCCCACAAAGCCGGUCGUAGUCCGGAUCGCAGUCUGCAACUCGACUGCGUGAAGUCGGAAUCGCUAGUAAUCGCAGAUCAGCAUGUCGCGGUGAAUACGUUCCCGGGUCUU
rnacentral:rRNA from 1 species